rnacentral:rRNA from 1 species
AUUGAACGCUGGCGGCAGGCUUAACACAUGCAAGUCGAGCGAGCGGCGGACGGGUGAGUAAUGUCUGGGAAACUGCCUGAUGGAGGGGGAUAACUACUGGAAACGGUAGCUAAUACCGCAUACCAUCAGGUGUUCCCAGAUGGGAUUAGCUCGUAGGUGGGGUAAUGGCUCACCUAGGCGAAGAUCCCUAGCUGGUCUGAGAGGAUGACCAGCCACACUGGAACUGAGAAACGGUCUCGACUCCUACGGGAGGCAGCAGUGUGGCAUAUUGCACAAUGGGCGCAAGCCUGAUGCAGCCAUGCCGAGUGUGUGAAGAAGGCCUUCGGGUUGUAAAGCACUUUCAGCGAGGAGGCGUUACUCGCAGAAGAAGCACCGGCUAACUCCGUGCCAGCAGCCGCGGUAAUUC